rnacentral:rRNA from 1 species
UGGCUCAGAUUGAACGCUAGCGGCAUGCUUAACACAUGCAAGUCGAACGGCAGCACGAGGAGCUUGCUCCUUGGUGGCGAGUGGCGGACGGGUGAGUAACGCGUAGGAAUCUACCUUAUAGUGGGGGACAACCCGGGAACUCGGGCUAAUACCGCAUAAUCUUUACGAAGCAAAGCAGGGGACCUUCGGGCCUUGCGCUAUAAGAUGAGCCUGCGUCGGAUUAGCUAGUUGGUGGGUAAAGGCCUACCAAGGCGACGAUCCGUAGCUGGUCUGAGAGGACGACCAGCCACACUGGGACUGAGACACGGCCCAGACUCCUACGGGAGGCAGCAGUGGGGAAUAUUGGACAAUGGGCGAAAGCCUGAUCCAGCAAUGCCGCGUGUGUGAAGAAGGCCUUCGGGUUGUAAAGCACUUUUAGUGGGGAAGAACAUCCUUAAGACUAAUAAGCUUAAGGGCUGACGUUACCCACAGAAAAAGCACUGGCUAACUCUGUG